CGACACACCUGCAGCUUUAAACCCUCAGACGACUUCUAGCAGCACUGUGUAUUUGAAAGUAGCCAAUCAAUCCUUGGCCUGCUCCACAAAAAUAACCUACUAUCCAGACCCUGUGUUCACCACCUUCUCACCUGUGAGGACAAGGGAUGGGUCUCGCAUCUCCCUACAGAAAAAGGCAGAUAAACUAGAGAUGACAGCAGCAGAGCUGUUAGUGUGGGGUAUUGAAGAUGGAAAGAAAUAUCCUUGCAUCAUGGAAGAGAAAGAAACUGAAAACCAGACUGACUUUUUCACCUGUGACAUACAAAGCACAUCCAGCUUUACAUUUCAGCACAUAGAGAUAAAGUAUGGUGGCCAGACAGUGCUGCUAAGUAAUCUGCCUUUAGUUCAUCAGGUCCUUCUGAUAGUGCGUUUGAUGCUGAUACCUUGUGUCAUAGGUGUGUUAGUGUUUAUCUGUUGCUGGCAAAGGAGACGCACCGCUGAGAUGAACGAGCUCUGACCACAGAUGCCUAGCUCUCCGGCCGUUCUCACAGGGAACAAGUUCAGGCCAUUGAAGCUUUCUGAUACUACAGGCUAUACAGGUAGUACAUAUGAAGUCAUUGUAUUUUAGGUGGAAUAUUACUAUUAAGAGACCAUUCGAUGUAGUU